rnacentral:tRNA from 1 species
GGGGAUUUAGCUCAGUGGUAGAGCGCUUGCCUAGCAAUCGCGCAAGGCCCUGGGUUCGAUCCCCAGCUCCG